CUGAUUCAGGGAUGUCAGCAAAUGCUUACCAGGCAGUCUCCUGUCUGCCGUGUCCUGUGUGGGGCCUGGGUGGGCUAGAAUAGAGACGAGAUCAAAAGAUGAACAUAACGCGCGCUCUGGCAUCAAGAUCCAGGAAAGGUGAACUCACAGAAGGAGAAGACUAAGGUUCUAACAGAGGAAAUUUGACUGUAGGCUACCAGCCAUUCUUUCCAGGGAUGAUUUGUGCAAGACUCACCUGCAUCACAAGACAGCCUUUGCCCACCCACGCCUUUCCUCCUUGCGGCCCCCAUGACCUGUCACCGCCUCCCGCCUGGAGCUCCAGGCAUCCAGUCCUCUCUGCAGGGUAUAAAAGCCGCAGUCCUCUGGUCCUUUGAGUGUCAUAUUUGUGUGGCUCCCAUGUGCACGUGCACAGAAUAAAUUUGUAAGCCAUUG